rnacentral:rRNA from 1 species
AUUGAACGCUGGCGGCAUGCUUUACACAUGCAAGUCGAACGGUAACAGGCCUUCGGGUGCUGACGAGUGGCGAACGGGUGAGUAAUGCAUCGGAACGUGCCCAGAGGUGGGGGAUAACGCAGCGAAAGCUGUGCUAAUACCGCAUGUGAUCUGAGGAUGAAAGCGGGGGACCAGGCAGCAAUGUUUGGCCUCGCGCCUUUGGAGCGGCCGAUGUCAGAUUAGGUAGUUGGUGGGGUAAAGGCCUACCAAGCCGACGAUCUGUAGCUGGUCUGAGAGGACGACCACCCACACGGGGACUGGGCCGCGCCCCAGACUCCGAGGGGGGGGACAAGGGGGGAAUUUGGAGAAAGGGCGGCAGCCCUACCCCAGCAAGGCCGGGGGGGGGAAAAAGCCUUUCGGGUUGAAACCCGUUUUUGUCGGGAACAAAAAGGCUCUGGCUAAUCCUGGGGGCUAAUGAGGGUACCUAAAAAAAAAGACCCGGCAAACUAGGGC